GCGCUCAGGCAGCACAUACGCUAAAAUUGGAAGGACACAGAGAAAUGAGCGGGGCCUCUGCACAAAGGAUGACGCGCUAAUUCAGGAAGCAUCUCAUGUUUAA
rfam:Otolemur garnettii contig022774, whole genome shotgun sequence.